ACUUCCUUUUUCGCUUAGAUAAAGCCAUUUUGGUAGGCCGUACAUGGUGGUUUCACAUUUCGCCUCGUGGAAAGAAAAUCCCCUUACUCUGCGUUUGAGACGAGACGAGCCUUUUGUUCCGUUUGGAUAACGUUAUCAGGCUCAUUCAAGCCAUUUGGAAAAAAAAUCUUGUUGGAUUAGCUACGUUAGUUAACGUUACGCAGUUUUAAUUAGCGCGGCACAGUUGAUCGGUCGUCGUUCAGUUUUGACGACACAGAUCCCCGUCUCGAACAAAGGAACAGAAGGCCGAGGCACGCUUGUUGGCGCGAUCAGAGCGAGGUAUUAUCUAUGAAAUAAUUUAAGAUUAAACCCACCCCAACGACUGUUAGUGUUUAUAGUAUUUCAACCUGAGACGUCUUUUUUUUUCUUAACUAUCACUUUAGCCUGACUCAUUGCUAUUGUGGUCAACUAGCGAGCUAACCGUUAGCUUUAGCAUUGUUUUGAUAUAGCUAAGCAAGAAGUUUUUAUAUUUGGGGCAAAAUGGCUGAAGUAUACAUUCGAGUAGCCGAGGAGGAAAAUGAAGAACCCAUGGAGAUACCUUCCGAGGACGACGGCACUGUUCUGCUUUCAACGGUGGCAGCUCAGUUUCCAGGAGCGUGUGGCCUACGCUUUAGGAGCCCCAUUUCUCAGUGCAUGCGAGGAGUGCGUCUUGUGGAAGGGAUUCUACACGCGCCAGAAAACGGAUGGGGAAAUGUCGUGUAUGUGGUGAACUAUCCAAAAGACAACAAAAGAAAAAUGGAGGAAAUUGACGCCUCCUCGGCAGUGAAAAUGAAGAGAGGGGACAUGAAGACAUCUGAUCUGAUCGUACUGGGUCUUCCUUGGAAAACAUCUGAGCAGGACCUGAAAGAUUACUUCAGCACAUUUGGAGAAGUCAUCAUGGUUCAGGUAAAACGAGACACCAAGACUGGAAACUCCAAAGGAUUUGGCUUUGUGAGGUUCACUGAGUAUGAGGCUCAAGAAAAGGUGGUCUCCCAGCGUCAUAUGAUUGACGGGAGAUGGUGUGACUGCAAGCUUCCUAACUCAAAGUUCCCUUUUUGGUUACAGCAAGGUCCAGACGAGCCAAUGAGGAGCCGGAAAGUGUUUGUUGGCCGUUGCACAGAAGACAUGACCACUGAGGACUUACGGCAGUUCUUUAUGCAGUAUGGAGAAGUUACAGAUGUCUUCAUCCCUAAGCCAUUCCGUGCUUUUGCCUUUGUUACAUUUGCGGAUGAUCAGGUUGCCCAGUCUCUCUGUGGAGAGGACCUAAUAAUCAAAGGUGUCAGUGUUCACAUCUCUAAUGCUGAGCCCAAACAUGGCAGUAGGCAGUUUGAUCGUACGACACGGUUUGGGAAUGGUUUUGGAGCUCAAGCGUUUGGUAGCAGCCGUAGUGGGUUAGGGAGCAGCACUAACAGUAGUCUGGCUAAUUUUGGUUCCUUUAGUCUGAACCCUGCUAUGAUGGCUGCUGCUCAGGCUGCUCUGCAGAGUAGUUGGGGGAUGAUGGGUAUGCUGGCUAGCCAGCAGCAGACAUCCACCUCAGGCAGUGCUUCCAGUGGAACAAGCUCUAGUAGGGACCAGAGUCAGUCUUUCGGUACAGGCAACAGCAACUACGGCACCAGCUCAGCCAGUCUCGGCUGGGGAACAGGGUCAAACUCCACAACCAGCGGUAGUGGGUUUAGCACAGGUUUUGGGUCCAGUAUGGAGUCAAAGUCAUCUGGGUGGGGUAUGUAAGUUAAGUGUUUGUAUGGUAAGUAUUGUGACAAAGAUGAGUCUUUUUUCCAAAUUUAUUUCUGGUGUUGAUGCGUAUCUGAAAACUUAACACUUUUGUGGAAGAUGUUUUGUACAUUUGGAAAAAAAAUGCUAAAGAUUUAAUUUAGAAAGUGUUGAAGUGAAUUGUUUACCAGGAUGUCUGACUAAAGUGCUAUUUUUGAUGUCUCAUUUGUUAGUAUCCAUUUCAACUGGAUUCUCUAAUGCAUGUAUUGUGAAAUGUGAUAACCAUUUUGAAAAUGCAUGAAUGUUUGUGGUUCACCAUUAUCCGGCUUUGUCAUCGACUUAAACGGCAAUCUUGCAUUGGAAAGAAUCUGGUUGAAACCUAAAUGUUUUUAGUGCAACUUAAUUUGCAGUAAAGUACUGUGGAAAAGCCUUCAUUGAAAUCUCUUCUGCAGUUCACCUCUCUUCCAUUUUCCUGUGAGGAAGCUCCUCUUUGGCAGCAUUCUUGGGGUGAUAUCGGUAUCAUUCUCCCUCUUCCCACCUGUAAAUGCUAUGCCAUCAAAGAACGGCUUCACUCCGCAUGUUCUAAGAGACGGGACCUUGGGCUCUGCUGGUCGAGGUCUCCGUUUGAACCCUGACUGAAGUCUGUUCUGAAGGACGAAGACGGAAGUUCCAACACUUUCAGUGUGUGGCCUUCUCAGACAUGACAUGGGGUAGUACCUGUCUUUUUGCUGCUUUUGAUGGCUUGUCUGAGUGAAUGAUCCUUUUUUUUUUUUUUUUGACUAUCCACAGCUACUUUUAAGGUGGGGAGGAGAGUUAUUUUAACCUUAAAUAGGAGUUCAACAAUGUGGCAUCACCUCUCCAAACUAUUGUCUGUCCCUACUCUGGCUUAAGUAAUAAGACAACUAAUGGCAUGUUGCUGAGCUUAGGAAUUUGUGAUUUUUAGAAGGCCCACUUAGUGGCCACUUCGUUGGGUAUACCUGUACAAUCUAUUGAAAAUCAAAAUUGUUUGCCAUACAUUUUACCUUCAGGAAGUACAAAAUGUUAUUUUGUUAAAUGUGUAAAAUUAACUGAGGUCAUAGGUGUUUUAGUGGACUAAAUUAUAUAGAUAUGGGUUAGAAUUAAAACUUGUCCUAUUGACAUGAGGGGGCAAAAUAUUAGAAUCGCCACUGAAUAUACUACAGACCAGUACAACGCCACCACUAACUAUGCAACUGUUGGUUUAUAAAUAAUUAGGCAGGUGUAUUGAAUAGCACUGGAUUAUCCAGGUUUACCUAAUAAAAGUGGCCACUGAGUAUGUUAGUUUGCCUGACAGUCUUAAUAGUACCUUAUGGUUUCCCAAAUUUGAAAAAUACAUUUAGAUCAUUUAGUUUGGAGAAACGUCAGGUAUAUAAUUUAGUAGUUGUAGCCCGUCACUUUAACAGAAAAUAGCCUUUUUUUUUGACUCAGUUCAUACAUAAUCUUUAUUGUAUGUCAAACCAGUGGCAAAUGCACUUAUCACCUGACAUUGCAUCAGCAGGUCCUAGACAACUGAAGUUAUUUUCUCCAAAUCAUAAAACUAAAGUAAUAUAAAAAAAAAUCUCAUGCUGUGGAAUACUUGAAAAGUUGAAAUGCAUCAUUUCCCAUAGCACUUUUUAUUAACUUAUUGUCAUGUAUUAGUCAGCCUUCAUGUUUAUUUUAAUGUUGGGCACAAGUGAGACACUGCAGGCCUGCCUUUGUCUUGUCCUUAUUCUCUGCUCUCCUCCUCAGUGUCUCUGCUCUUCCUCUUCCCAGCAUUCUUCUUUUUCAAAUCCCUCUGCUCCUGGUUCAGUUCUUCACUUUUAUUUUGUAUGUAGAUGGACUGAAAUAAAUAAAGGUAAAUUAAACAUUAA